rnacentral:rRNA from 1 species
CUGAUGGAGCACACCGCGUGAGUGAGAAGGGUUUCGGCUCGUAAAACUCUGUUGUUGGAGAAGAACGUGCGUAAGAGUAACUGUUUACGCAGUGACGGUAUCCAACCAGAAAGUCACGGCUAACUACGUGCCAGCAGCCGCGGUAAUACGUAGGUGGCAAGCGUUAUCCGGAUUUAUUGGGCGUAAAGCGAGCGCAGGCGGUUGCUUAGGUCUGAUGUGAAAGCCUUCGGCUUAACCGAAGAAGUGCAUCGGAAACCGGGCGACUUGAGUGCAGAAGAGGACAGUGGAACUCCAUGUGUAGCGGUGGAAUGCGUAGAUAUAUGGAAGAACACCAGUGGCGAAGGCGGCUGUCUGGUCUGCAACUGACGCUGAGGCUCGAAAGCAUGGGUAGCGAACA